CAUAUACUCCCUCCGUUCCAAAAUAGAUGACUCAACUUUGUACUAAAAUUAGUAUAAAGUUGAGUCAUCUAUUUUGGAACGGAGGGAGUAAUAU
rnacentral:pre_miRNA from 1 species